GACGAACGCUGGCGGCGUGCUUAACACAUGCAAGUCGAACGGAAAGGCCCUGCUUUUGUGGGGUGCUCGAGUGGCGAACGGGUGAGUAACACGUGAGUAACCUGCCCUUGACUUUGGGAUAACUUCAGGAAACUGGGGCUAAUACCGGAUAGGAGCUCCUGCUGCAUGGUGGGGGUUGGAAAGUUUCGGCGGUUGGGGAUGGACUCGCGGCUUAUCAGCUUGUUGGUGGGGUAGUGGCUUACCAAGGCUUUGACGGGUGGCCGGCCUGAGAGGGUGACCGGCCACAUUGGGAGUGAGAUACGGCCAAGACUCCUACGGGAGGCAGCAGUGGGGAAUAUUGCACAAUGGGCGGAAGCCUGAUGCAGCAACGCCGCGUGCGGGAUGACGGCCUUCGGGUUGUAAACCGCUUUCGCCUGUGACGAAGCGUGAGGGACGGUAAUGGGUAAAGAAGCACCGGCGAACUACGU
rnacentral:rRNA from 1 species